UUAAGUAGCAAAGUCAUUCUUAAAGCCUUUCUUAAUUAAACUGAAGCUAAGCAGGGCUGAGCCUGGUGGUCAGUACCUGAAUGGGAGACCACAUGGAAAAGCUAGGUUGUUGCCUGAA
ensembl:rRNA 5S_rRNA 5S ribosomal RNA